GAUGAACGCUGGCGGCGUGCCUAAUACAUGCAAGUCGAGCGAACAGACGAGGAGCUUGCUCCUCUGACGUUAGCGGCGGACGGGUGAGUAACACGUGGAUAACCUACCUAUAAGACUGGGAUAACUUCGGGAAACCGGAGCUAAUACCGGAUAAUAUAUUGAACCGCAUGGUUCAAUAGUGAAAGACGGUUUUGCUGUCACUUAUAGAUGGAUCCGCGCCGCAUUAGCUAGUUGGUAAGGUAACGGCUUACCAAGGCGACGAUGCGUAGCCGACCUGAGAGGAUGAUCAGCAACACUGGAACUGAGACACGGUCCAGACUCCUACGGGAGGCAGCAGUGGGGAAUAUUGGACAAUGGGCGAAAGCCUGAUCCAGCAAUACCGCGUGGGUGAAGAAGGUCUUCGGGUCGUAAAGCCCUGUUGUUGGGAAAGAAAAGAAGCAUGUGAAUACACCGAUGUCUUGACGGUACCUAAAGAAUAAGCCACGGCUAACUUCGUG
rnacentral:rRNA from 1 species